UUCGUAGGCGGUGCGGCAAGUCGGAAGUGAAAUCUCUGGGCUCAACUCAGAGACUGCUCCCGAAACUGCCGUGCUAGAGUGCGGGAGAGGCGAGUGGAAUUACAGGUGUAGCGGUGAAAUGCGUAGAUAUCUGUAGGAACACCCGUGGCGAAGGCGGCUCGCUGGACCGCAACUGACGCUGAGGAACGAAAGCUAGGGGAGCAAACA
rnacentral:rRNA from 1 species